UGGUCAUAUUGCUCUUUAUCGAGAAAUCGAAGAAGCUAUACAGGGGUUUUCUCGGGCCUAUUCAUAUGCUACCUAAUUCUAUGAUACCGUGGGACUUCGGGGCUCUCCGGUUCAGCUAGGUCCAUAGUUCCGGAAUUUAUACGCGAAUCAAGAUCGAUAAAAGGAAGUUUUACAAUCACCGACUCAAACCCAUUGUCGAAUCCUACUCAGCGGAAUAUGGAGGUACUUAUGGCAGAACGGGCCAAUCUGGUCUUUCACAAUAAAGCGAUAGACGGAACUGCCAUGAAACGACUUAUUAGUAGAUUAAUAGAGCACUUCGGAAUGGCAUAUACAUCACAUAUCCUGGAUCAAGUAAAAACUCUGGGGUUCCAACAAGCUACUGCUACAUCCAUUUCAUUAGGAAUUGAUGAUCUUUUAACAAUACCUUCUAAGGGAUGGCUAGUUCAAGAUGCUGAACAACAAAGUUUGAUUUUGGAAAAACACCAUCAGUAUGGAAAUGUACACGCGGUAGAAAAAUUACGUCAAUCCAUUGAAAUAUGGUAUGCUACAAGUGAAUAUUUGCGCCAAGAAAUGAAUCCGAAUUUUAGGAUGACUGACCCUUUUAAUCCAGUUCAUAUAAUGUCUUUCUCGGGAGCUCGAGGAAAUGCAUCUCAGGUACAUCAAUUAGUAGGUAUGAGAGGAUUAAUGUCGGAUCCUCAAGGACAAAUGAUUGAUUUACCUAUUCAAAGCAAUUUACGCGAAGGACUCUCUUUAACAGAAUACAUCAUUUCUUGCUACGGAGCCCGUAAAGGAGUUGUGGAUACUGCUGUACGAACAUCAGACGCUGGAUAUCUCACUCGCAGACUUGUUGAAGUAGUUCAACACAUUGUUGUACGUCGAACGGAUUGUGGCACCGCCCGGGGUAUUUCUGUGAGUCCUCGGAAUGGGAUAAUGCCGGAAAGGAUUUUUAGUCAAACAUUAAUUGGCCGUGUAUUAGCAGAUGAUAUAUACAUGGGUUCACGAUGUAUUGCCACUAGAAACCAAGCCAUUGGCAUUGGACUUGUAAAUCGAUUCAUAACCUUUCGGGCACAACCAAUCUCUAUUCGAACUCCCUUUACUUGUAGGAGUACAUCUUGGAUUUGUCGAUUAUGUUAUGGGCGUAGUCCUACUCAUGGCGACCUGGUUGAAUUGGGGGAAGCUGUAGGUAUUAUUGCAGGUCAAUCGAUUGGAGAACCGGGUACUCAAUUAACAUUACGAACUUUUCAUACCGGAGGAGUAUUCACGGGGGGUACUGCAGAACAUGUGCGAGCCCCAUCUAAUGGAAAAAUAAAAUUCAAUGAGGACUUGGUUCAUCCGACACGUACACGUCAUGGGCAUCCCGCCUUUCUAUGUUCUAUAGACUUGUAUGUAACUAUUGAGAGUGAAGAUAUUCUACAUAAUGUGAAUAUUCCACCCAAAAGUUUGCUUUUAGUUCAAAACGAUCAAUACGUAGAAUCAGAACAAGUAAUUGCUGAGAUUCGCGCAGGAAUAUCCACUUUGAAUUUUAAAGAGAAGGUUCGAAAACAUAUUUAUUCUGAUUCAGACGGAGAAAUGCACUGGAGUACCGAUGUCUAUCAUGCACCCGAAUUUACAUAUGGUAAUGUUCAUCUAUUACCAAAAACAAGUCAUUUAUGGAUAUUAUUAGGAGGGCCGUGCAGGUCCAGUCUAGUCUACCUUUCGAUCCACAAGGAUCAGGAUCAAAUGAAUGCGCAUUCUCUUUCUGGCAAGCGAAGAUAUACUUCUAACCUCUCAGUAACCAAUGAUCAGGCGAGGCAGAAAUUGUUUAGUUCGGAUUUUUAUGGUCAAAAAGAAGAUAGGAUUCCUGAUUAUUCAGACCUUAAUCGAAUCAUAUGUACUGGCCAGUAUAAUCUCGUAUAUUCGCCUAUUCUUCACGGGAAUUCUGCUUUAUUGUCAAAAAGGCGAAGAAAUAAAUUCAUCAUUCCACUACACUCGAUUCAAGAACUCGAGAAUGAACUAAUGCCCUGUUCAGGUAUCUCGAUUGAAAUCCCCGUAAAUGGUAUUUUCCGUCGAAAUAGUAUUCUUGCUUAUUUCGAUGAUCCUCGAUACAGAAGAAAGAGUUCGGGCAUUAUUAAAUAUGGGACUAUAGAAACGCAUUCAGUCAUCAAAAAAGAGGAUUUGAUUGAGUAUCGAGGAGUCAAGGAAUUUAGGCCAAAAUACCAAAUGAAAGUAGAUCGAUUUUUUUUCAUUCCUGAAGAGGUGCAUAUCUUGCCCGGAUCUUCUUCCCUAAUGGUACGGAACAAUAGUAUCGUUGGGGUCGAUACACAAAUCACCUUAAAUCUAAGAAGCCGAGUCGGUGGGUUGGUCCGGGUGGAGAGAAAAAAAAAACGAAUUGAACUGAAAAUCUUUUCUGGAGAUAUCCAUUUUCCUGGAGAGACGGAUAAGAUAUCCAGGCAUACCGGCGUUUUGAUACCACCAGGAACAGGAAAAAGAAAUUCCAAGGAAUACAAAAAAGUUCAAAAUU
rnacentral:lncRNA from 1 species